rnacentral:rRNA from 1 species
GAUGAACGCUGGCGGCGUGCCUAAUACAUGCAAGUCGAGCGAACAGACGAGGAGCUUGCUCCUCUGACGUUAGCGGCGGACGGGUGAGUAACACGUGGAUAACCUACCUAUAAGACUGGGAUAACUUCGGGAAACCGGAGCUAAUACCGGAUAAUAUAUUGAACCGCAUGGUUCAAUAGUGAAAGACGGUUUUGCUGUCACUUAUAGAUGGAUCCGCGCCGCAUUAGCUAGUUGGUAAGGUAACGGCUUACCAAGGCAACGAUGCGUAGCCGACCUGAGAGGGUGAUCGGCCACACUGGAACGGAGACACGGUCCAGACUCCUACGGGAGGCAGCAGUAGGGAAUCUUCCGCAAUGGGCGAAAGCCUGACGGAGCAACGCCGCGUGAGUGAUGAAGGUCUUCGGAUCGUAAAACUCUGUUAUUAGGGAAGAACAAAUGUGUAAGUAACUAUGCACGUCUGGACGGUACCUAAUCAGAAAGCCACGGCUAACUACGU